UUUAUGGAGAGUUUGAUCCUGGCUCAGGAUGAACGCUGGCGGCGUGCCUAAUACAUGCAAGUCGAGCGAACGGACGAGAAGCUUGCUUCUCUGAUGUUAGCGGCGGACGGGUGAGUAACACGUGGAUAACCUACCUAUAAGACUGGGAUAACUUCGGGAAACCGGAGCUAAUACCGGAUAAUAUUUUGAACCGCAUGGUUCAAAAGUGAAAGACGGUCUUGCUGUCACUUAUAGAUGGAUCCGCGCUGCAUUAGCUAGUUGGUAAGGUAACGGCUUACCAAGGCAACGAUGCAUAGCCGACCUGAGAGGGUGAUCGGCCACACUGGAACUGAGACACGGUCCAGACUCCUACGGGAGGCAGCAGUAGGGAAUCUUCCGCAAUGGGCGAAAGCCUGACGGAGCAACGCCGCGUGAGUGAUGAAGGUCUUCGGAUCGUAAAACUCUGUUAUUAGGGAAGAACAUAUGUAUAAGUAACUGUGCACAUCUUGACGGUACCUAAUCAGAAAGCCACGGCUAACUACGUGCCAGCAGCCGCGGUAAUACGUAGGUGGCAAGCGUUAUCCGGAAUUAUUGGGCGUAAAGCGCGCGUAGGCGGUUUUUUAAGUCUGAUGUGAAAGCCCACGGCUCAACCGUGGAGGGUCAUUGGAAACUGGAAAACUUGAGUGCAGAAGAGGAAAGUGGAAUUCCAUGUGUAGCGGUGAAAUGCGCAGAGAUAUGGAGGAACACCAGUGGCGAAGGCGACUUUCUGGUCUGUAACUGACGCUGAUGUGCGAAAGCGUGGGGAUCAAACAGGAUUAGAUACCCUGGUAGUCCACGCCGUAAACGAUGAGUGCUAAGUGUUAGGGGGUUUCCGCCCCUUAGUGCUGCAGCUAACGCAUUAAGCACUCCGCCUGGGGAGUACGACCGCAAGGUUGAAACUCAAAGGAAUUGACGGGGACCCGCACAAGCGGUGGAGCAUGUGGUUUAAUUCGAAGCAACGCGAAGAACCUUACCAAAUCUUGACAUCCUUUGACAACUCUAGAGAUAGAGCCUUCCCCUUCGGGGGACAAAGUGACAGGUGGUGCAUGGUUGUCGUCAGCUCGUGUCGUGAGAUGUUGGGUUAAGUCCCGCAACGAGCGCAACCCUUAAGCUUAGUUGCCAUCAUUAAGUUGGGCACUCUAAGUUGACUGCCGGUGACAAACCGGAGGAAGGUGGGGAUGACGUCAAAUCAUCAUGCCCCUUAUGAUUUGGGCUACACACGUGCUACAAUGGACAAUACAAAGGGCAGCGAAACCGCGAGGUCAAGCAAAUCCCAUAAAGUUGUUCUCAGUUCGGAUUGUAGUCUGCAACUCGACUACAUGAAGCUGGAAUCGCUAGUAAUCGUAGAUCAGCAUGCUACGGUGAAUACGUUCCCGGGUCUUGUACACACCGCCCGUCACACCACGAGAGUUUGUAACACCCGAAGCCGGUGGAGUAACCUUUUAGGAGCUAGCCGUCGAAGGUGGGACAAAUGAUUGGGGUGAAGUCGUAACAAGGUAGCCGUAUCGGAAGGUGCGGCUGGAUCACCUCCUUUCU
rnacentral:rRNA from 1 species